rnacentral:rRNA from 1 species
GAAACUUGCCCCGAGAUGAGUUCUCCCUGAGACUUAGAGUCUCCUGAAGGAACGUUGAAGACGACGACGUUGAUAGGCCGGGUGUGUAAGCGCAGCGAUGCGUUGAGCUAACCGGUACUAAUGAACCGUGAGGCUUAACCUU